rnacentral:rRNA from 1 species
UACGUAGGGUGCGAGCGUUAAUCGGAAUUACUGGGCGUAAAGCGUGCGCAGGCGGUUUUGUAAGCCAGAUGUGAAAUCCCCGGGCUCAACCUGGGAAUGGCAUUUGGGACUGCAAGGCUGGAGUGCGGCAGAGGAGACUGGAAUUCCUGGUGUAGCAGUGAAAUGCGUAGAUAUCAGGAGGAAUACCGAUGGCGAAGGCAGGUCUCUGGGCUGACACUGACGCUCAUGCACGAAAGCGUGGGGAGCAAACAGGAUUAGAGUACCCCAGAUA